GUUUGAUAAGAAAAAUGCAAAUACACUAGAGCUCAGAGAGACCUACUUUAACUAGGACCUUGGGGGUGGGAAGAAUUGCGUACCAGCUAUAAAAGCAUUGAGUGGAGCUGGAUAUAGAGAUGGGUCGAGCAAGCCUCCCGCACCUGGAUUGCUAGCGAUUGUCGUAGUUGCUGUGGUGCUAGUUGUGGCUGCUGUUACGAGAUUCAGUUGCUGGGCUCCUCCGGGGGAGCUCUCUCCACUGGUGUAACGGCCAUCGGGACCUUGAUCGUAGAGAAUUCCCCUGAAAACAUGACCUCCGAUAUUGACAGCCGUUUGAUAUGCAUACUGCUCAUCCCGUUCAUCCAUUGCGCUUACUCUAACGCAACGAAACACUGCUGGGGAAUUCACUUCCGGUGGAAAAUGCGCUACUUCCAACCCUAAUUUGUCUGAGGUGGUUGUGGCUAAACGAGUGCAGGCAAGAGAGGAAGCACCACCUUGAUUCUCUCUCUGCCUUUUUGGAUUCUCUCCUCGAAAAUGUUGUUGUUGUUCUUGAUUGUGUAGUUGUUGCUGCUGUUGCUGUUCUUGUUGUAAAGCAGUUAGCUGUUGUUGCCUCUCUCGCCUUUUAGCAGCAGGAACCCAAGUGCUCUUGACGUGGGUUUGGCACUGAAACCCUCGGCUUUUACAACAAGUUCUACAUCGCAAAUGGGUACAAUCUUUUUUCGCUUGGUUCCCACAGUCUUGACAGUUCAUUCCUCCUCCUCCUCCUCCUCCUAUUCCACCUUGCCUCAUCACCGUAAAGCCUGAUCUUGAAGAUUCAUCAGAGAAACUUCUCCGACUAGGACCCACUCCAAACGAGGAGUAGCUGUUCAUGUUUUGCUGUUGCUGAUAAUACUGCGGCCAUAUCUCAAAUCCCUUGUUGUAGAUCUCCUCGUUUGAUCUGUAUAAAAACAGGUUGUUAGGUUGAUCUUUCUCUUCUUCUUGUUUAUUUGAUGCUCCCUCUCUCCCACUUAGAUAGAACCAGCCAGCCAUUUCUUGCACCCACAAGCUGAAACCAACCCCAAUUCAGACCAAAAAUCCAUAGCAAAAACGUAGCACCAAGAAGUAGCUAUUGAGAUCUGCAAGAUCAGUGGGCUUUGAUUUCUGGGUUAUUAUGUUGGGAGUUGAAAAUCGGUGGCUGUGUUUUUAAGAUAGACUUUAAGUGAGUGUUUACUGUGAGUCUGUGACCUGAUCUUCUUCUUCUUCUCCUUCUCUUUCUUCUGAUUCUGACUCUCUGAAUAUCUGAUCUUGCUGUUUGGGUUUCUUUUGCAGCUUUUUGAGGCAAAUAGAGAAAAAAAAAUAACUCAAAUUGAAAUUGAAAGAAUUUUGUUUAGGGUAAGAGACUAUGGAAGAUGGGUUUCCCUGACUGGGAGAGAGCCAGCUUUCUCCACUUAUUUUUCGUUGUUUAAAGCAAUAAUGGCACGGAAUUAGACUUCUGCAACGCCGCCAUGGUAACUGCACCCACACUCUGCUACACUCUCUGCUACACUCGCCUCAUUUAAGACAAACCUGCUUUCUUCCUCUCUCUCUCAUCAAUUACUCUCACUCACU
rnacentral:misc_RNA from 1 species